UACGGGGGGGGCAAGCGUUGUUCGGAAUUACUGGGCGUAAAGGGCUCGUAGGCGGCCAACUAAGUCAGACGUGAAAUCCCUCGGCUCAACCGGGGAAUUGCGUCUGAUACUGGAUGGCUUGAGUUUGGGAGAGGGAUGCGGAAUUCCAGGUGUAGCGGUGAAAUGCGUAGAUAUCUGGAGGAACACCGGUGGCGAAGGCGGCAUCCUGGACCAACACUGACGCUGAGGAGCGAAAGCCAGGGGAGCAAACGGGA
rnacentral:rRNA from 1 species